CGGCGGACGGGUGAGUAAUGCCUAGGAAUCUGCCUGGUAGUGGGGGACAACGUUUCGAAAGGAACGCUAAUACCGCAUACGUCCUACGGGAGAAAGCAGGGGACCUUCGGGCCUUGCGCUGUCAGAUGAGCCUAGGUCGGAUUAGCUAGUUGGUGAGGUAAUGGCUCACCAAGGCGACGAUCCGUAACUGGUCUGAGAGGAUGAUCAGCCACACUGGAACUGAGACACGGUCCAGACUCCUACGGGAGGCAGCAGUG
rnacentral:rRNA from 1 species